UUGAGCGUUUUCUGUAUUUUGUUUCAUUAUAUUUUUCAUAAAGAUAUGAACUCGUAUCUAAUAUUGAACUGCAGCAAAAUAAUUAAAUGUCUAAUUAUAUUAUGCGAAUGUACAUUUUCCAAAAAUUGGCCUUUUAGUAACUUUGAGUUUCUCAACCCGAGUAUACAGAAUGCUAACAAAAACUUACUUUAUUCAAUAAAUAACUUUUAACAUUAUCUAAUAUUACUGGUUAACAUUACUAUUAUCU